rnacentral:sRNA from 1 species
AGCGUUUUCUAAAUUGGGUAUAAUGUUCUUGCAAGGUUACUUGCAAGAACUUUUUUGGAGGAUAUACAUUUAUGGAACACGGAACGGUUAAAUGGUUCAACAAUGAAAAAGGAUUUGGGUUUAUUACAGUAGACGGCGGAGAUGACGUAUUUGUUCAUUUCUCAGCAAUUCAAGGAGACGGCUUCAAGAGCCUAGAAGAAGGUCAAGAAGUAGAAUUCACGAUUGUUGAAGGUGCACGCGGACCUCAAGCUGCUGAAGUGACUAAAUUAUAAUAAUUUGUUGAAUAAAGACACGACUUCUUAGAGAGUCGUGUCUUUUU